AACACAUGCAAGUCGAACGGUAACAGGAAGCAGCUUGCUGCUUCGCUGACGAGUGGCGGACGGGUGAGUAAUGUCUGGGAAACUGCCUGAUGGAGGGGGAUAACUACUGGAAACGGUAGCUAAUACCGCAUAACGUCGCAAGACCAAAGAGGGGGACCUUCGGGCCUCUUGCCAUCGGAUGUGCCCAGAUGGGAUUAGCUAGUAGGUGGGGUAACGGCUCACCUAGGCGACGAUCCCUAGCUGGUCUGAGAGGAUGACCAGCCACACUGGAACUGAGACACGGUCCAGACUCCUACGGGAGGCAGCAGUGGGGAAUAUUGCACAAUGGGCGCAAGCCUGAUGCAGCCAUGCCGCGUGUAUGAAGAAGGCCUUCGGGUUGUAAAG
rnacentral:rRNA from 1 species